UUCAUCUAGGCGGCUAACAAAAGAAAUGGGGUAAACCAAAUUCACUUGCCAAAAGCCUAACCAUCGCCCCCAAAAAGAAUCAUUCUCUAAAAACCCUAACUAUCGCCACCAAAAGCCGUCGGCCGGCAUCUUCGAGCUCCGCUCAGCUGUUGAGAUCGCCCUCACCUCUGUAAUUGAUCCUCACUUGCCAACUCUUGUGAGAUUUACCUCACUCGACAUCAAAACCUAAAUCGUCCUUUUCGGAAGCCCUAGCAACCCCGGCCACAAAUCUGAGCUUCACCGGCUACCUUCAUCGCAACUCCGACUGAUAUUAUACAUUAAACAUCCAGAUGUUGAGAGAUGUUCAUGCCCAAAACUCUUCUGUUCCAUGGAACUUCUAUUCCCAACUAUAAGAUGUAACAUUUAUAUUAGAUAACAGAGAAGGCAACAUGUAAACAUCCAACAGAAGAAAAAAGUGAUCCUGAGGACGGAGGAAAAAAUUACUCUGUGAUAAUUACUUCUAUUGGUUUUUGUUUGCAUAUUACCUGUGAUAAUUACUUAUACUCUGUGAUAGUUACUAAUUUCCUAUGAUACGUGCAUGUUUCAUGUGAUAUUUACAUAUUUCCUGUGAUACUUCCUUAUUAUUUGUGACAGUUGACUCUUUCUUGUGAUAUUUGUUUAUCUACUGUGACAGUUACCUUAUUUCUGUGACUAAAGCAAUAUGCAUGUGACAUUUGCUCAUCAUUUAUGAUACAUGAAUUUUGCCUGUGACAUUUUCUCAUAUCCUGUGACCCUUAAUAAUUUUCUGUGUCAUACACUCAUUAACUGUGAUCUUAUGUGAAAGUAACUGAUGAAGUUAUUGAAAAGAAAAAGGAAAGAAAAAGAAGGAAGGAAAUAAGAUGAAACAUUGAAAGAAUUUAUUCAGGGACAUACAUGCAUAUUUCUAAAUCAAUGCAAUCCUAGAAGGAAAGGAGGUCAUAGACAUUGAAGCUUUACAAAGGGAGACUGAAAUGUUAAGGGCAAGACUUGCUACUCAAAUUAUAUGUGAGAGCCGAGAAUUAAAGAAGCUGGGACUAAAGUAAGAUGUAGAUGAUCCAGAAUAUCUUUUAUAUUUUGUGUGUAAUGAUAUUUUGCCAUUGAUUGAGUGGAAGUAUUAGAUAAACAUGUAUAACAUAAUUUUUUGUUGGAUAUGACUAAUCCUUUUGUAAAUUUUGAGACUUAUGGUGACAAUGAUGAAAUAUGCAUUUGUGAUUAA